ACUCAAAGGAAUAGACGGGGGCCCGCACAAGCGGUGGAGCAUGGGGAUUAAUUCGUCACUAACCGAAGAACCUUACCCAGGCUUGACAUCCGGAGUAAGUCCGUGAAAGCGGUACCCCUCCCUCGAAAGAGGGAGCUUCGAGACAGGUGUUGCAUGGCUGUCGUCAGCUCGUGUCGUGAGAUGUUGGGUUAAGUCCCGCAACGAGCGCAACCCUCACGCGAUGUUGCCAGCGUCAAGUCGGGCACUCUUCGCGAACUGCCCGGGUAACCGGGAGGAAGGUGGGGAUGACGUCAAGUCGGCAUGGCCCUUACGCCUGGGGCUUCACCCAUGCUACAAUGGGCGCGACAGAGGGGUGCAAGACCGCGAGGUGGAGCCAAUCCCAAAAACGCGCUCUCAGUUCGGAUUGCAGGCUGCAACUCGCCUGCAUGAAGUCGGAAUCGCUAGUAACCGCCGGUCAGCCAAACGGCGGUGAAUACGUUCCCGGGCCUUGUACACACCGCCCGU
rnacentral:rRNA from 1 species